rnacentral:rRNA from 1 species
UACGGGGGGGGUAAGCGUUGUUCGGAAUUACUGGGCGUAAAGGGCUCGUAGGCGGCCAACUAAGUCGGACGUGAAAUCCCCUCAGCUUAACUGGGGAACUGCGUCCGAUACUGGAUGGCUUGGAUUUGGGAGAGGGAUGCGGAAUUCCAGGUGUAGCGGUGAAAUGCGUAGAUAUCUGGAGGAACACCGGUGGCGAAGGCGGCAUCCUGGACCAAUAUUGACGCUGAGGAGCGAAAGCCAGGGGGAG